rnacentral:rRNA from 1 species
AAAGCUUACAGCACCUGGUAUUCCCAGGCGGUCUCCCAUCCAAGUACUAAGCAGGCCCGACCCUGCUUAGCUUCCGAGAUCAGACGAGAUCGGGCGUUCUCAGGGUGGUAUGGCCGUAAGCGCUUAGAGGACCUGCAAAAU